UACGUAGGGGGCUAGCGUUGUCCGGAAUCAUUGGGCGUAAAGAGCGUGUAGGCGGCCCGGUAAGUCCGCUGUAAAAGUCAAAGGCUCAACCUUUGAAUGUCAGUGGAUACUGCCGGGCUAGAGUCCGGAAGAGGCGAGUGGAACUCCUGGUGUAGCGGUGGAAUGCGCAGAUAUCAGGAGGAACACCAAUAGCGAAGGCAGCUCGCUGGGACGUACUGACACUGAGGCGCGAAAGCGUGGGGAGCGAACAGG
rnacentral:rRNA from 1 species